rnacentral:rRNA from 1 species
UUAGGAAUAUUGGACAAUGGGGGAAACCCUGAUCCAGCCAUGCCGCGUGUGUGAAGAAGGCCUUAGGGUUGUAAAGCACUUUCAGCUGUGAAGAUAAUGACAGUAGCAGAAGAAGAAGCUCCGGCUAAAUUCGUGCCAGCAGCCGCGGUAAUACGAAUGGAGCGAGCGUUGUUCGGAAUCACUGGGCGUAAAGGGUGCGCAGGCGGUCAUGAAAGUCAGAAGUGAAAUCCCAGGGCUUAACCCUGGAAUGGCUUUUGAAACUCCAUGACUAGAGUAUUGGAGAGGUUGGCGGAAUUCCGAGUGUAGAGGUGAAAUUCGCAGAUAUUCGGAGGAACACCAAUGGCGUAGGCAGCCAACUGGACAAUUACUGACGCUCAUGCACGAAAGCGUGGGGAUCAAA